CAGGGCCACCAGGAAUGUCAAACCCCCCUGUGUUUGGGAGUCCAUGAAAUGAAAAGCCUCCCACAAGGAACGGCUUUCUUUGGUCAAGGGGCAUUAUGCAAAGUUAGAAGGUUGCUGAACAUUGAGAGGAAAACACAACUGCAUAUCUGAGGAGGACGCUGUUGAAGUGCAGAAUGUCCCGUGCUCUGGGGUGCAAACUCCUCUUCCCAGACAGGCCCAAGAGAAAUAACAAAACCUGCCAGCUUAGAUAUUUUUAAGCGACAGAAACAAAACACAGGAGUGGACGGGGAGCAUAAAGCUGGAAGCUGCUCAGGGGCGGAAGUGCAGAAGCUGACAUUGUACCAGCAAGGCCUGCUCUUCGAAAGACACUGAACCUCACCUAUAUUUAGUCUUGGGUUGGAUUUCAGGACACGAACACUCCCUUGACUCUAAAC